CCCGCUGAACUUAAGCAUAUCAAUAAGCGGAGGAAAAGAAACCAACAGGGAUUGCCCUAGUAACGGCGAGUGAAGCGGCAACAGCUCAAAUUUGAAAUCUGGCCUCCUUCGGUGGUCCGAGUUGUAAUUUGCAGAGGGUGCUUUGGCGUUGGCAGCGGUCUAAGUUCCUUGGAACAGGACGUCACAGAGGGUGAGAAUCCCGUACGUGGUCGCCCGCCUCCGCCGUGUAAAGCCCCUUCGACGAGUCGAGUUGUUUGGGAAUGCAGCUCUAAAUGGGAGGUAAAUUUCUUCUAAAGCUAAAUACUGGCCAGAGACCGAUAGCGCACAAGUAGAGUGAUCGAAAGAUGAAAAGCACUUUGGAAAGAGAGUCAAAAAGCACGUGAAAUUGUUGAAAGGGAAGCGCUUGCAGCCAGACUUGCCCGUAGUUGCUCACCUGGACUUUUGCCCGGGGCACUCUUCUGCGGGCAGGCCAGCAUCAGUUUGGGCGACCGGAUAACGGCCUCUGUCACGUAUCAUCCUUCGGGAUGACCUUAUAGGGGAGGCGUAAUGCGGCCAGCCUGGACUGAGGUCCGCGCAUCUGCUAGGAUGCUGGCGUAAUGGCUGUAAGCGGCCCGUCUUGAAACACGG
rnacentral:rRNA from 1 species